rnacentral:tRNA from 3 species
GACUCCGUAGCUCAGCUGGUAGAGCAACAGACUCUUAAUCUGUGGGUCGUGGGUUCGAUCCCCACCGGUGUCA